UACGAAGGGGGCGAGCGUUGUUCGGAUUUAUUGGGCGUAAAGAGCUCGUAGGCGGCUUGUCGCGUCGAAUGUGAAAACUCGGGGCUCAACCCCGCGCUUGCAUUCGAUACGGGCAGGCUCGAGUUCGGUAGGGGAGACUGGAAUUCCUGGUGUAGCGGUGAAAUGCGUAGAGAUCGGGAGGAACACCCGUGGCGAAGGCGGCCAACUGGGAUACACCUGACGCUGAGGCACGAAGGCGUGGGGAGCGAACGGG
rnacentral:rRNA from 1 species